rnacentral:rRNA from 1 species
UUUUUGGAGAGUUUGAUCCUGGCUCAGGACGAACGCUGGCGGCGUGCCUAAUACAUGCAAGUCGAGCGGACCAAUAGAAGCUUGCUUCUGUUGGUUAGCGGCGGACGGGUGAGUAACACGUGGGCA